UCGAGAAUUUUUCACAAUGGGCGCAAGCCUGAUGGAGCGACGCCGCGUGGGGGAUGAAUGGCUUCGGCCCGUAAACCCCUGUCAUUUGCGAUCAACCGUUAUUAUUUAAAAGAUGAUGACCUGAUAGUAGCGAAAGAGGAAGGGACGGCUAACUCUGUGCCAGCAGCCGCGGUAAUACAGAGGUCCCGAGCGUUGUUCGGAUUCACUGGGCGUAAAGGGUGCGUAGGUGGCGAAGUAAGUCGGAUGUGAAAUCUCCGAGCUCAACUCGGAAAAUGCAUUGGAAACUACUUUGCUUGAGGAUUGGAGGGGGGACUGGAAUACUUGGUGUAGCAGUGAAAUGCGUAGAUAUCAAGUGGAACACCAGUGGCGAAAGCGAGUCCCUGGACAAUUCCUGACACUGAGGCACGAAAGCUAGGGGAGCAAACA
rnacentral:rRNA from 1 species